rnacentral:lncRNA from 1 species
CACGAACGGACGCUCUCCCAACCCUCUGGGGUGUUUGCUCACUCAUGCAUGUGGGCCCCCAAAUCGGAGCCCAGCCCGUCCCCUGGGGGGACGGAGGCCUCUGCUCCGGGAGAGUUCUCCAAAGCCUGGGACCUUCCACAUCCCAGGGGAACUGUCACCGCAGCAGGAGACGCCACUGCACCCUUCCAGGAGCUGCUUAAGGAAAACUCCCAGAGACAGGCAUGGAAGCCACCUUCCCUCCAUGGAACUGGGGCUCUGAGGAGAGAGGAACAGCGAUAUCUUCCACUGAUAGAAGCGAAGGAAUAUCCAUCCAGUAGCACCGGCCGCGCAGGGCAUGCUUUGUUCCUGGAGAUAGCGGUACGCAUUCUCCCCUAAAGGCGACUGGGGGUGGGCUACGAUUUUGUAAUUUUUUAAACAUGAGCAGGCAUGCUCAUUACAGCGGCAUCUCCCUGUCUUCUGACCACAUACGAUGACUAAUUGCUCCCAUUAAGCCAAGUUCUGGGAUACACGUCAGGUGGAGCAGAAGAAUGGAGAUAAUGUUAAAAACUGCAUCAAAAUAAGUGGGACUUUCCCCAAGCGUAAAAGAAGCAUUUAUAAUCAUAAAUAUGAAAAACAUUAAAUUCUUCUACCCCAUCUUAAUGAAAUGAGAGAAAAAUUCCCUUUCCUCAAGAUUGGCAGUGGGUAAGAAAC